rnacentral:rRNA from 1 species
GACGAACGCUGGCGGCGUGCUUAACACAUGCAAGUCGAACGGAAAGGCCCUGCUUUUGUGGGGUGCUCGAGUGGCGAACGGGUGAGUAACACGUGAGUAACCUGCCCUUGACUUUGGGAUAACUUCAGGAAACUGGGGCUAAUACCGGAUAGGAGCUCCUGCUGCAUGGUGGGGGUUGGAAAGUUUCGGCGGUUGGGGAUGGACUCGCGGCUUAUCAGCUUGUUUGUGGGGUAGUGGCGUACCAAGGCUUUGACGGGUAGCCGGCCUGGGAGGGUGAACAGCGUCAUGACUACUACGGGACGGAGCAGUAGGCAACGGGACGCAAUGGGCGAAAACAUGACGGAGCGGCCGGACGUGUGUUGCGAAGAUCCUCCGAGCGUGAUGCCGUCUUACUAGUUGUGAACAUAUGUGUCCGUUGACGUAGAGAGAGUGACGGUACUGGAUAAGAAAGCACCGGCUAACUACGUG